rnacentral:ncRNA from 1 species
CUAGAAUAAGGGCAAGGUUAUCGAAAGGUAAGGACGCAAAGCUAUGGACCUGUAUCUAUAGUAAUAGAUACAGUAGCAACUUGCGCA